rnacentral:lncRNA from 1 species
AAUUUUGGACAUAUGAUAUAUUUUGACAUGAGAUUGAUUAUAUGGACAUUUAGGAGUUAUUGUUUAGUUUCGUUUUAAUUAAUAAGUUAUUUAGUUUUUAACUGAGAUGGUGGCUUUUGGAUCAAUUUAAGGCCUUCCAUUUCGGAGGUUCUUCCUCUGAAUUCGUGGCCGGUUGUUGCGGUUCAGAUCCGAGCAGUCGGAUCUUGGGCGUGACAGACAGUGUAAGGUUUAAUAGGUUUUCUCCUAAGUUAAUUCCA